GCUGGGGCAAAAAGCACUGGAAAUGGAGCUUGCAGGGAGGCAUGGGGGUGCACAGAUCUCUUUCCUGUCACCUUCUUGCUUUAUGGUAUUCUGUCAGUAUUUUGAGCAAAUCCUCUAAGCUGCGCUAGCUUCUUAACUACUUGCUUCAGCUGAAUCCAGAUCUAUGUCAGUGCUGCACUAAAAUAAUGCAGCUUUGAGAUUUUUUUUUGUAUUUUUUUAAUUGAAGGCAACAGUUGAAGGACCUUGGGGGUGCUGGAAUCAGGAGAGUCCCUCCACCCUGAGGACAGACUGCUGGGAACACAAGCUCAUCAGGAAACUCUUGGAUGACGUCCCAAAAAUGUUUCUAGAGAAUAGAAAGUUGGUCUGGCAGAAGAAUAUGUUUAACAUAUAAAUAAUGGAUGUUUCCAGCACACUGUGUGCUGCAAAGCUGUGUGUCUUGAGUCCAAAAGGAGGAUGGAGUGUGCGCUGGUGGCAGGCAGAGGACCGAGAUGCUGUGUCGUUUUUGCCCCACCGCCUGCCAAUGACCUUGCCUCUGUGACAUGCUUUGGAAAUGUUCUUGAAGUUUCUAUGCGUAUCUGGAGUUUUGCCAAAUGGAGUCGUCAGCUGCCUGCUGCGCUGCUAUGAAACAUGGCUGGCUCCUGGCCCCAAGGACAGCAGCACCCACCAGCCGGUAAGUGGUGCCAGUGUGGUCCUUUCUUGUGUUCAGCUGCACAGGGGAAGCACCAGACCCCACAGAUCACAUGUCAGAUGUGCCUACACACACUUAUAUACUCACUGUGUGCAUAAGAACUCUUAUUUACACAUGAGCAGAACCAAGCUUGGUCUAAAGGACUGGUUGGGAAAGGGCUCUGCCACUGACCUUUGAAGGGUCUUCACAUCUGCAGGAGGCACUUCGUUCCCUCCAGUGUGUAAUACGCCCUCAAAAUUUGGA